GGCCGGUUGGCCCAAUGGCAAGGCGUCUGACUACGAUUAAACACAACAAGUCGUGUAUCAGGAGAUUGUGGGUUCGACCCCCAUGCUGGUCA
rfam:Glomerella graminicola M1.001 genomic scaffold supercont1.45, whole genome shotgun sequence.